rnacentral:lncRNA from 1 species
CUGAACUGAAGCCAGUUGGGAGCCUGAAGACGCCCUGCGACAUGAAGAAGAAGUCAUCAACAACUACCAACAAGCGUCGACGAGGGCGUCGACAGUUUAAGUGGGGGAGAAUGUCACGAACGGUCGUCGCGCACCCGCAACAACUCCGUUCAACGAACCGUUCGUCGCUCACACCUGCAUGUACAGCUGCUUGACAGCAUGGUUUCUCUUGGUUUUGGGUCAUUUUGCUUGUAAAUAUGUAAGUUCGAACAAGCUGCAGCGUUACAAAGCGACCGCUCACCAAACUGAGCAAAACAGCCCCAAAACAGCCCAAAACAGCUCCGUUUUCGCGUGCCACGGGAGGGUAGCGGAGAACUGCCUCCGCUCACCAAAAUGUCUCAGGCCCCUAGAACCACCCGGGUGGCACAGGGCUGGAUGGGGCUUCGGUUAUAUACCGGGCGUUGAGAUCUCUUUUGCAAGUUCGUACGUGACCUUUACGGGAACUUAUCUUCGCGCCCGGGACCAGGUGAGCGACUGUUUGUGGGCUUGCAGCUGUUCGUUCAUCCUUGAAAGCCUUGUUUUUCUCCCUCUCCCUCUUUUCUCUUGUGCACACAGGGUGUUCGUCGAAUUGCUUGUAAAGCUUCCCUUUUCGCGAGACUUCGGGACUUGUCCGUUGCUCGUUCUUUCGAACUAACUCUCUUUCUCUUUUACAGGUCCUUCGGGACCUGCGAGAGGUUACAAAGUGGGCUGAUCCUUGCGAAGCAAUAUCGCAAGGGCGAAGCGCGACUUAGGCAACGCAAGCUAAGUUCACGUCUUUGGCCGCAAGGGUGCCUCACGCCUUAGGCAAUUCCAGCUAAGGUCGUGACAACAUGUUGGAAAGUGUCUAACAACUGUCGUUGUCUAACUCGGGCAGGACGAGGACAUGGCGAGCAUUUUGAACUGUCCAUUCUUCAUAGAACAACAACAUUCUUUCAUGAAGGAUACCAAAGUGUUUUAAUAAGAAAAGGCAAAAUUUUAAAUAACAAACCUCAAGAAUCUUGUUUCAGACACUCUAUUCCAAAUAAAGAAACUAAAUCCUAGACAUCUGAGAUCUUCACAUCCACAAUCUUCUCUAGUAUCAAAGCAAAUGGACAUUGUGUUCCGUCUAAUCUCCUAAUGCAAAAUGCAUAAAUGGAUACAAAAAUAAUAUAUGGUAUUUUUAUACGAUAGGGAUGAGCACACUCAUGUAGAAUCAUAUCAAUCAAGCAUAAUUUUAGACCCCAACCAGAUAAAACUCGCACGAUACGCAGUCAACCACCACGCCCCUAACCGCCGCAUCAUGAUCUCUCAUUACUACCCACUAAUCCGACAAAACUGUUCGUCAACACAAACAAUUCCAAGCAGGAACAACGAAUUAAAAACGAAAUUGGCCCCUCACCUGACGGCCCCCACGGGCGUUCCCUCGUCGCCCCCAUGGAUAUCGAGGUGGUUCAGCCUGACCAAGGCGCUCUCACUGGCGGGAUUCGUCUCCGUCGGCUCACUCCGGCUGGAAGGCGAACCCGCACUGCCGCUGGUGGAGGCCGAGUGACCGCCGGAGAAGGCUGGCGCACCCAGGGAGGAGCGGCCGCCGGAGGGGGCCAUGCGGAAGUUCGCCGUCCUCUUGCUCCCCUCGUCCAUCUCCGCGAUCGCAGGCGAGCAGGAGAUCGCGGGAGGGGUUCGGGGAACGGAUGGACAAAGCGGAAGAAACCCUAACAACGAGACGGGAAGAUCGAAAAAGAUGGGGGCGUUGUAUGCUUAUGCCUGGGUGCGAGGCUGUUUCCGAAAGGUCGCGCACCGGAGGUGAUGCUACCGCGAGCGGGUUAUUAACAUCUUUUGACUGACACGUGGAGCAUUCGAAUGGCAACAAGAAUAAACGGUCUCUUAACCCUGACACGCCUAUAUCCCAAUCUCAAAACGAACAGUCGAGAUCAUGUAAUGGUCGGAAGUGCAGGAUUGGAUAAGGGUAUCAUUAGGAUAAGCGUCUUUUGGUGGGAUGUUCGCGAACAGGGGACAGCUUGUCAAGGAACGAGUUGCCUCGGGCCUAAACCGUAUACCUACCGAGUUUGACCGAACCAGAGCUGGGUCGAGAUCACAGUUAGGUUAAUACUGUCCAUUUAUUCCCAUAAUAUAAAAUCGUUUAAGUUAAUACUAAUGUACAAUGCUCCCAAUCUAUUUUCUUGGACUUUUCAUGCUUUAACAUAUAAAGGAAAAAAUGGAAGAAAAGCGAGAAAAUUUAUUUUUGUGAUUUUUCUUUGUUAUAUUUAGUUAACAUCUUAUUCAUGUUUCUUAUUACUGAAUGGAUGGACAUAUAGCUGAAGAAUAGCCUACUAGUCAAAAAUAUUCAUAAGCCACUUGCUGUUCUUACUUGGAAAGUUAUAUAUUCCAACUAUGUCAAGAUAAUCCUGUUCAAUCUCUUUGAAGCAACCCAAAACCUAAAAAAAAGGAAAACUGGAAUAAAUUUGUACAACAAUUUAUCAAAAAAGAUUAUUGAUGUGUGUUCAGGUAAUUGUCAAAUAGUUAGAUAAAACUUGUAUAGAUUAUCUAAUAAGAAACAUAAACCACAUAUUGACACUGAGGAAGCAAAACAUGACACUGAAAGAGUAUUGACAGUAACUCUACAUGAGAUGAUAAAGAAGAAGCCGCAGAAGGCCAGACAAGGCAUCCAUGCUUCAUAUAUUUGAAAAGAAUACAAUAGAACACGGUAGAUGUGAAUACUUUGUAACAUGAGUCACAAAGAAGAUUGAUUACAAACAAUUUUUUACAUGUAAAACUGAUGGUUAAAUUAGAAACAGAUGCAAGGACAAGGAAGCAGGCAAAAAAGUCACAUGACAUCCCUCGCAAGCCUCAAUGGCUCAUCACUUGAAUGCACAAACUCAAUGUUUGGUCGCUUUACGAGGUGAUGAUCUGCAUCUUCCUCAUCACUGUCCUCAAUUGAUGACGAAGAAAAUGAAUCGAACUCAUCUUCUGAAAUAUAAUAGUCUUUUUUAGAAAAGUGAGUUGAUAAUACUACAUGGAAAAAGAAAGCUAAUUUCAAUUUGAUCCAUGAACUCCACAUGAAACAUAAAUUUCAAGGACAUUGCUUUAGUUGGUAUUUCUGAUUAAAACUAUUAAUUCACACUCUUUCUUGCAUUAUGACACAUUAAAUUAACACAGAUGAAACUUGAAAAAUAGUAAAACAGUGGAAUGAUACAGAGAAGAAAAAGAACAAUAUGUAAAUCUGGAAUUGUACUUCACUAGAAUGUUUCUAGUUGUUAGUCUUAAGUUCAUAACUUUAUGCUUCUUAAGGUACGGAAAACCAAAUCAAAAGUGUUCAAACAUGGCUGUUUCAAAGUACCAGCAUUGAAAAAAAAAAAUGCCUUUGUUUUUCGUUUGUGGGUCAGAGUGAGGUGCUUGGCACAUGAGAAUGUUUAGCAGUCAUGGACAGCAUGUCCAAGAAAUAAGAAUGACCAAAUAAGUAAGUUCAAGUUCUUUGUUUUGCAAUAAAAAUUAUUCUCUAUGGUCAGACUAUCAAAAAGAAUACUUAAUUGAAUUUAUAUGUCAAAAUCUUCAGAAGUUUAUAACAUUCAUAUUCACAAGAUGAAUCUACCUUAAAGUAAUGAGAAACAUAAGAUAUUUACCUCAAAAACUUAAAAUGAGAUCAUUCUGAGCCAACAUUUAGGUGGCACCAGUUGGUAAUAGAAAAGUACAAGUAAUAUAAAUGAAUAGUUAAUCACUGCAAACUUUUUUGAAAGAUUAGUGUAUUUGAAAGACCCUAAUAAACUAACAUAUUAUUUUUGUUCUCUUGAACUUUUUUUUUGCUAUUUUGUGUAUUGAAAUUGCCCCAUUCUCAGACUGGUCAUAAGGACUUGAUGAUUAUUGCAUAAAUAGUUGCAACAACAAAGAAAACCAAACUACGAAACACGCAAUGAUUCAAACUCACCAAAACAAGUUGGAUGAGUUGGUAAUUGUCCGACUGCUGAAACACGAAUAUUUUCUGGGAUAAUACAGCGAAAGAAUGAUCCUGAAACUUCCCAAUCCCCAAAUGAAUCAAUACCUACAUAUUUCCAUGGAACCAGGGCGAAUGUUUUGAAAUAGAUACUAACCUAAUCUGGCAAGUCUAUUCACCCAUCCAGGAAUAGACUUUCCGGUCAAAUGCAUGCAAACUUCAUCUGUGAAAUGAUUGCAGUUUUUGAUGAUCAAAUUGUAGGUGUCACCAUGAUAUUUCCCCGCAAGGUCUUCAAUAAGUAUGCGGAACUCUGAGCGAGACAUAUCAGUGGUACCCAGCCACACAGAACGUCUGAAGAUAAAACCAGGACAGCUUUUCGGUUCCACCUCAAAUACUCCGCUAGAUGGGUAAUCAUGUGCUCCAAAUCCAUACUCCUGUCCAUGAACUACAUGCAAAAGUAUAAUGAGCAAGCUAUGGAAACAAAGAGCAGGAUUAAACCAACAUGCUAUGAGACAAUAUCAAGCAGGACUUACAGGAAGGUAUAGGGCAAAAACUUGUUUAUUAGAACUUUUACCAUCAAGACAAAUUUGGAACUAUAGUAUCCACCAUACUGAUUAAUUAAUACAAGGGUCAAAUAGGUUAGUUCAAAAUAAUAGACAUAAUUCUAUUAAAUUACGAGUCCAUACCUGACUAGAUGCCAUUAUAAAACCAAAAGAGUACCAUGUAUAUCAUGAGGGAUCAAGAAGAAACCGAGAUAGGGAACAAAUAGAGCAUAUUGGUACCAAGAUGAUUGCACUAAGAUUGUAUUCAACAAAGUAACAAAAGCACAAGGUUUGCUCGGAGUUCCAAACAAAUGGCAGUAAAAACACCAGAAAUAAUUACGGUGGACUUGGAAAGAAUUUGCAGCGAUCGUUGAGCAAAAGAGCACUAACGAACCAACUUGAUAGGCAGAUCAGAUGUCCAAGUCAACCAAGGCCCAACUUUUCAACGAGAACAUAAAUAUCAAUUCCUACAAAUUGAUAGAUUUGAUAAUUUUUCUUAGGGACAGUAAACCAACUAAACAAUUUCAUGGUUCCUAAUUACUUAGAUAAUAGUUAAGCUAUGCAUUUACUUUGUAUCAAAAAAAGCUUUUGAUCCAAAGCUUUGUGAUGAAUACUUAUUAGGAUCUCCCUAGAAAAUUGUUGAAACUCAAGAAUAAACAACUGUGUGAUGAAUGCUUCUUUCCUUUGACAUUCAUCUAAUAUCUUUGUUUGCUAAAACAGCAUUAAUUGAACAUAUUUUAUAACCAGGAAGUACUUCUAGGUCAAUUUAGCAGAGUCGCAAAGAUUCACAGCGCGACAGGGAAGCAGGAAAUAUUUGUACAAUUGGCGUUGCAUGAAUUAAACGAUGAAAGAAAUGAAUCGAACCGAAUUAUAUCCUAAUUCCUAAACUCCGACGAGAUCUUGCGGGGAUGAUGACGCACCUUCGAUCCCAGAGUGGAAGACUCCGAGCCCAAACCAGUACAGGUAUUUGUUUAUGGGUGUGAGAUCAUAAACAUUCAAGUAGAGACGCGUCCUCCCGCACCCGUCUCUGCCCCCGUUGCGCAGACCCUUCUCGGAAGGAGAUCCUGACAGCAUGUUUAUCCGACUCGGCAAACCAACAUUAGGAACCCUAAUUCCACAUCUCCGACGCCUCAAUUCGACGUCCCGGUUCCCAGAACCACGAAAUUAGAGAGAGAGAGAGGCUUCCGGGUUGGAUUGGACAACAAGGAGGAGGAGAAGAUGGGCGAGGAAAGGGGUCCGAACUGGGUUCCAACGUUCCCUGCCUUGAUCCCCUGGCGCGAUAAUGGCAGGGAACAGCCUUUCGCCCCGUCUCAUUGCAACAACUAUGGUUCCACCGUGGCGAUAGAUGAUCUAAAUAAGCAGAACUCUGUUCCCUGCCACGGAUGCGACAGGGGACACUUUCACUUCGUCCGGCCGCGCUCCCACGGAAUCGGAUUUCGGCGGAUUAAAGGAUUCGAUGGCACCGCGAUCAGAACGAGGGACGAUGGAUCAUAUUCUCCCACGUGGACCGUUCACGCUCCGGGACCCACUCGUAGAAUCUAACUAAACCUACCGAGUACUCUUACGAUCACCCUAAAACUCAUCUAAUCAAUCAAGCCCAAUUUGAUACAUCGGGCCGAGCCGAGCCGCAUCAGCCCUGACCUCUCGACCUUGCAGGGCCUCCUGGCCGCCGGUUCGACCCGCCCCAGCCGCAGGCUCCGUGUCACACCGGACCGAACCGAGGGUCUGGUACGGAUUGGCACCCGGGCCUAACCCAGGGCCGUGCAGGAUGGAUCGGACCGAGUCCACCCAGCGGUCUGGGACAGUCCCAAUGCGACCAAACUCAAAUCCUUUGUUUCAGUUCAAUUUCAUUUCGUUUUUUCCUCUUUGCAGAAAGCUUAUAAAUCGCAGACUAAUAGUUUCAAACUUGAAAUUUUUGUCAGAAUAAAGAUUUAAAACAUGCAACUAUUAUAAAUACAAUAUUAAAUAAUAUAAACAUAUUUGUGAAGAAUUAAAUUCAAAGUAUAUUUUUCAUGAAUAAAAAAUCCUGAUAAAUUCAUAUUUCGGAAUUAAAAAAUUAUAUAGAUCAUGAUAAUUCGAACAUAACUUUAUGAAAUGAUAAUAUGUCAAAAGAGGAGUAAGCCUCUCGAUUCGAUAUUGGUUCAUACGACUGAGAUGGCGUUCGCUCAUCCACGGUUCCCCUAUAACUUGCUGGCCAAAGUCUAGCUGGGCUCAAGAGUUGUGGCAGAGGAGGAGCAACUGAAGAGAGAAGAGGAGGAAAAUGGAAGUUGAGGUGGCCAUGGCUUAGUGUUCUGUAGAAGAAACGAAGAGAGAGGAGAGAAGAAGAGUAAAAGAUGGGUCGGUUUUUAUAAUAUGUUGAUUUGGAGUGUGUUUAUCCUAAGAUAAAAAAUUAUCAGAGUGCUUCACACGCACAAAGAAACACUUUACUCGUUGCUGUGUGGGAUGACAGCAAUGGUCAACUAUUGCUAAAUAACAUUGUCAAAGUUAGCAUAUAAUAUAUAUAGUGACACUACAGAUUCAUGAAUCUAAUAUAUUUCAUAUUCUGUAGUUUUUGCUGCAAAAGUCACCUCCUUCUCAGGCUUUAAGAAAAUAAUAAUAAUAUACAGUUGCGUUUUCUUGUUCACAGAUUGAAUCGAAAGCCUUGACAUCCUCCUCCCCAUCGCGUAAUCUAGAAAUAGAACAGUCAAAGCAUCUGUGCCUUUUUGUUGUUCUCUUCGCCAUUAUGAUUUCAUGCCAUACUUUGCUGCCAUCAGCUAGCUUCCUUUAUGAGGCAGUUGGGAGAGGAUGAAGACAAGGGAAAGGAGACAGUGGGAUAUUGGAUCUAUGGGAACAAGUCAAAUCCUACAGACUGUGGCUCCAAUGCAACCACUUAAUCUUCAGACUCUAGUGAAAGAAUUCUAAAGGCUACUGCAGUAACUCUGAGGAGAUAUGUAUAUGUUUCCACGAUGAAGAAAAGGGAACUCAGUGUUAUCAACCCACUCUUUAGGUGGCAUCAUGACAUGGUCAGUGCAGGAGCUAGGAGCAGGUAGAAUAUGAAUGCAUUGCUCUUGCAGCAAACAGAUGAAGAGCUACUUGUUACUGUAGAAAAAUCAAAGGGGUUCCUUCAAGAAAAGAAUACAAGUUGCCAUUUGAGCUAUUUGCAUCUGUUUAUGAAGGAAACAUGGUGUGUCUCACUCAUACACAUCCUUCAGACUUUCUUGUGAAGAAUCCAGAUAUGAAACCAAUGAGCUUGUGGAUUCAACAUGUGAAUUCAAUCCUAACAUUUUGGUUGGAUUGGAGUUGGAUACAGAAUUUAGAUAUCCUCAUACUCAAAUUUCGAAUCAAAAUUUGGACAUCAAGCUCUCAAUUCUCUCAUUCACCAAGAUAAUAGCUGGUUUCAAUCAACCAAAAGAAGGAAAAAUGAAAAGCAAAUUAGAAAUAGAAUACUACCACAAGCAUGAUUCCAUUUGAGUGUCUUUUAAGAUGAAACUGUGCAUGGCGUAUAGGAAAAUGAAUAAUGGAUUCGAAUCUAACAUUUUUCAUGUAUGCUCCAAGCUACAGUAGUAGAUUAUGUACACAAGAACAACAACACUAUGUAACCUGCCGUGAUACCUCGACAAGCAUGCUUAUGUUUACAUCCUUGUCAGACCAUGCUAUGUAUCGUUUUGUUCUCCUUUGAUUACUCUUUCUUUGUACGUCUUCUUUCCCGCUCCCAAGCAACGUGAAGCAUCGCAGCGUUUGACCGGUCAACUCUCAGAUCACCAGGAGCUGCGCGAACCCCAGUGGUGGAUGCGGAGAUAGCGGCGACAGCGGCGGCACGUUGAACAGCCCCUCCGUGUCCGCCUCCUCGCCGUCCCACACGCUGCUCCAGCUCGACGGCGACAAGGGGACGCACCCUGGCUCCACAACCUCAGACUCCAGCGAGCUCUCCUUCUUGAUCCCUCUCGCCGGUACCGCCGCCUCUCUCUUUCUCUUUCCGGCCUCAGGCGGCGCAGGAGGAGCGGUGGCCCAGCGGCCGGAGCACCCGACCUCGUUGGGGAAGUUGAGGAUGGCCUUGCGGCCGCGAAUCCGGUAGGCGGCGCGGUCGUACGCCCGGGCGGCGUCCACGGCGGUGUCGAAGGUCCCGAGCCAGACCCUGGACCCCCGACGGUUGGGAUCGCGGAUCUCCGCCGCGAACUUGCCCCACGGCCGCCGCCGGACCCCGCGGUACCGCCUCCCGUCGCCCCGGUUCGCCGUGGGCGGCACAUCAGCCCAGUCGAGCGGGCGCGCAAGGGGGAGGGCGACGGUGAGGGAAGGUCGGGCGAAGGGGAUCGGCGGGGGCAGGACGGAUGACGGGGGAGUGGGCGGGAGGUCGGCGAGGAGGUGGUCGCGGAUGAGGUCGAUGGUGGGGUCCCUGCCGCGGCCAUUCGACGUCGCCAUGAGUCGGAUAGAGGAUGAGAAGACGAGCGAGAGGCUGGUGAUGGCGGUGGAAGAUAGGUGGGUGGAAGAGCAGUCGUCGUCGUUACUUAUAGAGCGCCAAGACAAGGCCAUGGUGCUUCCUCGAAGCCGCACGGCGGGAGUCCAUCCGUGGAUUCGGAGUGGCAGGGGUCGUUGCUCGGUCUCAUACAAUGUCGUGUCGACGCCGGGAAAGCGAAGUGCGAAUCGAAAAGGUACGCUAAGGCGACGUCUGCGCGCCCAUCGAACGCCCGCCGCCACGUCCUCCAGUCGCGGCCGAAGUCGUACCAAAUUGAUCAAAAAAGAAAAUAUAAUUCCGAUACGCAACUGAAAAUUAUUUAUAAAAUAGGGGAAAUUAAAUUAAUUUGGCAGCAAUUUAUUAUUAUUCUAAGCAACUGAAAAUUAUUUAUAAAAUAGGGGAAAUUAAAUUAAUUUGGCAGCAACUAAUUGUUAUUCUAAGCAACGCCACUAUGUUUGCAUGGGUUCUCCUCAAUCAUGCAACGUUUGAAGAGCAUGCGUUCACAUACACUUUCCAUUUACUCCACCGACUGCACAAUUGAAGUGUAUGCGUUCACAACACGGUUGACUUUGUUGAUCUUCACAACAAUAAAUGAGUGCCCACGAAAUCUCACUGUUUCAACGUAGUCAAUGGAUUUGGUUCGGCGCAUUCAAUUUAACUGCAUCGAGCUAAGAGAGCCGUCAAAGCUUUCGUCUCCUCCGCUUCAUACCUGCGGCGACGUUUGACGGUGGCCGAGUCGAGAAACGAUGAGGAGGGCUUGACUCGUCGCCGGGUCAGACUCAUCAUCUCUGCAUCGCAACCACCGUGCGACUCGCCAUCGUGUUUGCUAAUCCUUCAUCUUAUUGCCUAAAUGAUCCCAUAGUUCUAUCAUUUCCCCAUUGUUCUCUCUUCCAUCAUCUUCCUUCCUUGUUUCAUGUCCAUGGUCCAUAGUACCCACAGGGCUACUCACCUAUGCAACUUGCAGACUGUCGACAAGAAUACGAUAGUUUGGCUCCUACUACCUCAGAUUGAGAUCUCCAAUCCCCCAUGCGAGAGAGUGUCCACCCAAUUCGAGAGGAAAAAGCCAUUUUGGAUAAGACCAAGGUUGUAAAUAUCCACUUUCCUACUCUCUCUUCAUCUUCAUCAUAUUUUAUGCCCAUCAUUUGUUACCAAAACGAUUUAACGUAAUAUAUGUUAUUAUCAUGACAGCAUAUGCUUGAAUUCACCAUAAGAAUUUAUUGAACAACGUCUCUUGUUUCGCUCCGUAAAGCCAUCUCCCGCUCCCGCCACAUCCCAACACCAGAAGCGGAGGAAGUCUCGCCUGCAACCACGCGCGCCCAGAUGUGUAGCCCCGAGUCCGAGCUCGCCCUCCUAGACUCCAUCCGCCGCCAUCUACCCGGCGACCCCGAACCUGGCCCCUACCACUCCUGCUACCCCACGCCGGCCUGCCACCGGAGCUGCAGCUUUGGACGCCUCGUCGCCGACCAGUGGUCCGACGGCCUCCCCUUCCGCCUCGACGACCCCGACGAUAUGGUCGUCUACGACGCCCUCGCCGACGCCUUCCGCCACGGAUGGACGCCCUCUUCGGCCGUACCCGUCGCUGUUGGCGAGACCCUGGCGGUGAGUGCGGCGCCGGCUCCGGGGAGGCAGUACCGGGGGGUGCGGCGGCGGCCGUGGGGAAAGUUCGCGGCGGAGAUACGGGACCCGGCCAGGAACGGGGCCAGGGUGUGGCUGGGGACGUUCGGCUCCGCGGAGGACGCGGCCCUCGCCUACGACCGCGCAGCCUUCAGGAUGCGCGGCUCCCGCGCGCUGCUCAACUACCCACUGCGGAUCGGGUCGGCGGAGGCCGCGCCGGACUCUAUCACUCCUCCUCUCCUGAUAACUCUCCCUCAGAAAAGGCCUCGUCCAAGAGGAGGAAGAAAGGGGCGGCGGCGGCCAUCAUAACGUCGCCUUCUCCAGCUUCGUCCCUCGGUUCGGUUCCGGUAUCAGUUAAGACACGUCGGCCAUCUCUUGGUGAGCUAAGAAGAUGGCAAUAGUGGAAGGAUGUGUGGAUGAAGCCUCAUGGAAAUGUGUUCUUUGCGAAGUAGAAUAAACGCGAAUGCCAUGAGUCGAUGGCUGUGUUUGAUUUGCUGUUCAUUGUUCUUUCUUUCUCUUUUUCCGUGCAAAAACAUUAUAGCAAAUCAACCAUCUUUGUUCAUCGAUUUUAGAUUUUUAGUGUCAUCAUGUUUGAUCUUAAUACCAGUAAAUAGCAUUGUGAUCUUAUCUAUGUUCCCUUUGUUCUGUUAAGUAACAUCCAACAAGUGGAGGAUAUGCGAUCCAAAGUUCAGAGAAGCCGGGGGACAAGAGCUCCCCUGGCCACUGAUCAGAUCCGCCCAUGCAACAAAUGGAUUCCAGCAUACCAAGACAAGAACCAGCAUGUUGGAUAUGGUAAAGAGAUGACGUGCCACCAGCUCUGGUCUGUGUGCUUUCCUCUCCUCUCUUCCCAAGUGAGUUAGUGAAAGGCUUCGAUUUUGAUACUGUGGCACAUCAGCUGGCCCACAAACAACUCGAGAUUGUUGUUGACCAAAGGAUAGCAGCAUAAACUUUGCUUUUGAUGUCGCACAACUUCAUCAUCUAAUCAUGAUUUUUCUAGCUCAGAAACAAUUCAAAAUUUUUGUGCUGAUUUGGAGAAACAUUAUCUUAAGCCACUUGGAUCUGAACACUGUGUAACCUUAGAACAGCUCCUAAGAGAGUAGCAGCAUGUGCAGUAUUUGGCCUACAAGAGGCAGUUAGAUAGUAAUCUUGUCAAUACUGCUGCCUCAAGAACUGAGUAGAGCCCACACUGAGAUAUAGUCCUAUAAUCAUCCUAAGUUACCAGAUUUCAGAUACUAAUCUUGUCAACACUGCCUCAAGAUCUGAGUAGAGCCCACCCUGAGAUAUAGUCCUAUAAUCAUCCUAAGAUACCAGAUUUCUUUCUUAUCCAGACCACAUCUUAUGGUAGGAACCUAUAGCUUCUGCAGUAGCCAUUCAUGCUACUGUAGUACUUGGCAACUUGGAUGUAACAGCUAUCCCACCCUAGCAAAAGAACAAUGCUUCAAUGAGAUUUCCAUUCCAUGGUCAGCACUGGAACAAUGGGCAGAAGUAGCUUGGGUCAAAGAAGAUGGACAUGGUCCCAACUCUUGAACUGCAGGUUCCAUGUUCAUCUUCCCUUUCUGAGCAUGGCCAGUUUAGGCAGACGAGGGAGAAGGGCAAGCAUGCAGAAGUCUUGUGUGGGAUUUUGUGACCUCAGACCUUGAUACUAAGAUCUUCUUUGAAGCCCCAUGCAGAAGACUCGGAGUUUUCUUAUG